CUNUCUGACUUGAGUGCAGAAGGGGAGAGUGGAAUUCCAUGUGUAGCGGUGAAAUGCGUAGAUAUAUGGAGGAACACCAGUGGCGAAAGCGGCUNUCUGGUCUGUCACUGACGCUGAGGCUCGAAAGCGUGGGUAGCGAACAGGAUUAGAUACCCUGGUAGUCCACGCCGUAAACGAUGAGUGCUAGGUGUUAGGCCCUUUCCGGGGCUUAGUGCCGGAGCUAACGCAAUAAGCACUCCGCCUGGGGAGUACGACCGCAAGGUUGAAACUCAAAGGAAUUGACGGGGGCCCGCACAAGCGGUGGAGCAUGUGGCUUAAUUCGAAGCAACGCGAAGAACCUUACCAGGUCUUGACAUCCCGAUGCUAUUCUUAGAGAUAGGAAGUUACUUCGGUACAUCGGAGACAGGUGGUGCAUGGUUGUCGUCAGCUCGUGUCGUGAGAUGUUGGGUUAAGUCCCGCAACGAGCGCAACCCUUAUUGUUAGUUGCCAUCAUUAAGUUGGGCACUCUAGCGAGACUGCCGGUAAUAAACCGGAGGAAGGUGGGGAUGACGUCAAAUCAUCAUGCCCCUUAUGACCUGGGCUACACACGUGCUACAAUGGUCGGUACAACGAGUUGCGAGCCGGUGACGGCAAGCUAAUCUCUGAAAGCCGAUCUCAGUUCGGAUUGGAGGCUGCAACUCGCCUCCAUGAAGUCGGAAUCGCUAGUAAUCGCGGAUCAGCACGCCGCGGUGAAUACGUUCCCGGGCCUUGUACACACCGCCCGUCACACCACGAGAGUUUGUAACACCCGAAG
rnacentral:rRNA from 1 species